rnacentral:tRNA from 1 species
CAGAAAGUAGUUUAUUUAAAAUAUUAGUUUUGGGGGCUGAAGAUGGGAUUAACUUCUUCUUUCUGA